AGUAACCUGCCCUUGACUCUGGGAUAAGCCUGGGAAACUGGGUCUAAUACCGGAUAUGACCUUCCAUCGCAUGGUGGUUGGUGGAAAGCUUUUGUGGUUUUGGAUGGACUCGCGGCCUAUCAGCUUGUUGGUGGGGUAAUGGCCUACCAAGGCGACGACGGGUAGCCGGCCUGAGAGGGUGACCGGCCACACUGGGACUGAGACACGGCCCAGACUCCUACGGGAGGCAGCAGUGGGGAAUAUUGCACAAUGGGCGCAAGCCUGAUGCAGCGACGCCGCGUGAGGGAUGACGGCCUUCGGGUUGUAAACCUCUUUCAGUAGGGAAGAAGCGUAAGUGACGGUACCUGCAGAAGAAGCGCCGGCUAACUACGUGCCAGCAGCCGCGGUAAUACGUAGGGCGCAAGCGUUAUCCGGAAUUAUUGGGCGUAAAGAGCUCGUAGGCGGUUUGUCGCGUCUGCCGUGAAAGUCCGGGGCUCAACUCCGGAUCUGCGGUGGGUACGGGCAGACUAGAGUGAUGUAGGGGAGACUGGAAUUCCUGGUGUAGCGGUGAAAUGCGCAGAUAUCAGGAGGAACACCGAUGGCGAAGGCAGGUCUCUGGGCAUUAACUGACGCUGAGGAGCGAAAGCAUGGGGAGCGAACAGGAUUAGAUACCCUGGUAGUCCAUGCCGUAAACGUUGGGCACUAGGUGUGGGGGACAUUCCACGUUUUCCGCGCCGUAGCUAACGCAUUAAGUGCCCCGCCUGGGGAGUACGGCCGCAAGGCUAAAACUCAAAGGAAUUGACGGGGGCCCGCACAAGCGGCGGAGCAUGCGGAUUAAUUCGAUGCAACGCGAAGAACCUUACCAAGGCUUGACAUGAACCGGAAAGAUCUGGAAACAGGUCCCCCACUUGUGGUCGGUUUACAGGUGGUGCAUGGUUGUCGUCAGCUCGUGUCGUGAGAUGUUGGGUUAAGUCCCGCAACGAGCGCAACCCUCGUUCUAUGUUGCCAGCACGUGAUGGUGGGGACUCAUAGGAGACUGCCGGGGUCAACUCGGAGGAAGGUGGGGACGACGUCAAAUCAUCAUGCCCCUUAUGUCUUGGGCUUCACGCAUGCUACAAUGGCCGGUACAAAGGGUUGCGAUACUGUGAGGUGGAGCUAAUCCCAAAAAGCCGGUCUCAGUUCGGAUUGGGGUCUGCAACUCGACCCCAUGAAGUCGGAGUCGCUAGUAAUCGCAGAUCAGCAACGCUGCGGUGAAUACGUUCCCGGGCCUUGUACACACCGCCCGUCAAGUCACGAAAGUUGGUAACACCCGAAGCCGGUGGCCUAACCC
rnacentral:rRNA from 1 species